UACGGAGGGUGCAAGCGUUAUCCGGAUUCACUGGGUUUAAAGGGUGCGUAGGUGGGUCUGUAAGUCCGUGGUGAAAUCUCCGAGCUUAACUUGGAAACUGCCAUGGAUACUAUAGGUCUUGAAUAUUGUGGAGGUCAGCGGAAUAUGUCAUGUAGCGGUGAAAUGCUUAGAUAUGACAUAGAACACCAAUUGCGAAGGCAGCUGGCUACGCAUAUAUUGACACUGAGGCACGAAAGCGUGGGGAUCAAACAGGG
rnacentral:rRNA from 1 species